UUCGCCUUCAUCUUCUUCUUUUUCUUCGUUGCGUUCUAUUUAAAAAAUUGACAUGUGGCAAACGGUAAUCGUCUCAAGCAAAUUAUAUACAUCCAAAAACUAAAAAGAUCGAGAGGGGCUCAUAUGUAAAAUCUGAAACUGCUUAGAGGAGAUUUUGAGUUGGUCGAUAUUGAAAGAACUUGAAAACCAAGUUUUAUUAUGCCUAUGGACUGGGUUUUAUCGAAGACAAGGGAGAAAUGGGUAAAAGGCCGACAGGCAGAUGUUCUUUUCCUACUACUAUUCCCGCAUAUUAUAGAGCUCCUCGUGAGGAUAUCGAAUGAAGAUCACUUAUUUGGUACCAGGGAUAUCAUAAGUAGUGAAAGCUUCUUUGACACAAACAUGUCGAGUGACUCCUGGAUUAAACCACCAUUUAUUUGAAUUUCCAACUACAUUUCAUUCAAUGAUCUUAGCGCACAUGUUUUCAAUCUUUUCAGCUACUUCCACCAUGUUUAUCUGAUUUUCUUUCUUGUUUUUUGUCAAAACUUGACAAUUUAGAGAUUUUUCAUCAACUCACUAUGAUUGUAGUACUCGCCAUUGAAUGUUUUCUUGUUCUAUUUUUUCUUUUAUAUAGAAGACUCCUUUCUCUUCUUAUUACUUGGAGCAUCGUCCUUAAUAAGAUUUGCACUCAUCAUUGAUGAUUUCUCAUUUAACUCAUUAUCCUCUUCUAUCUUAAGAUGAAUCACAAGAUUUUUCAUACUAGACAAUUGGUUUUUGAAAUUUUCUUCUUCGGGAACUUGAGGAUCUUUACUUGUGAACCUUUUCAUUUCAAAUUUGGUUAGCCAAAAGAACAUUGUUUGUUGUUAUUCAUUGAAGUUCACACCAUAAUAUUUUUUUAAUUUCUCUGUCGUUGUCAUUGCUAGAGCAACAUCUGAAUUCCUUAAUGGUGCAACAUUGAUUGUCAUUGGGACAACACCAUUCAUAAAUGAAUCAAUUUGUUGUUCAAUUU